UACGGGGGGGGCAAGCGUUGUUCGGAAUUACUGGGCGUAAAGGGUUCGUAGGUGGCUUGUUAAGUCAGACGUGAAAUCCCUCGGCUCAACCGGGGAACUGCGUCUGAGACUGAUGAGCUCGAGUGCAGGAGAGGAACGCGGAAUUCCAGGUGUAGCGGUGAAAUGCGUAGAUAUCAGGAGGAACACCGAUGGCGAAGGCAGGUCUCUGGGCUGACACUGACGCUCAUGCACGAAAGCGUGGGGAGCAAACAGG
rnacentral:rRNA from 1 species